ensembl:lncRNA
GUCGCUAUGGGUCGCUAUGGGUCUCGCUAUGGGUCGCUAUGGGUCGCUAUGGGUCUCGCUAUGGGUCACUAUGGGUCGCUAUGGGUCGCUAGGGGUUGCUAUGGGUCGCUCUGGGUCGCAGUGGGUCGCUAUGGGUCGCUAUGGGUCGCUGUGGGUCGCUAUGGGUCGCAGUGGGUCGCUAUGGGUCGCUAUGGGUCGCUAUGGGUCGCUAUGGGUUGCGCUAUGGGUUGCUAUGGGUCUCUAUGUGUCUCUAUGUGUCUCAGUGGGUCGCAGUGGGUUGCUAUGGGUCGCUAUGGGUCGCAGUGGGUCAGGCUCACCGGGCAGCAGGAGGUUUCCGAAGCUGUAGCCGGCGGUGGCGGCGAUGACGAGCGCCCCCCUUCCCGCGCAUUGACCGUCACGGAUCCGGCCCCCGCUGCCCGUGGCCGCGCCGCUGAACGGGGACACCGCUGACAAAAAGAGAUGGGGGGGGGGGGAAAGGGGGCACUUGGGGGGCACAGCCCCAUAGAGAGACAGCGAUGCCCCAUAGGGAGACAAUGCUGCCCCAUAGGGAGCAGUGCCGCUGAACGGGGACACCGCUGACAAAAAGGGGGAAAAGGGGGCGAAGUGGGGGGCACUUGGGGGGCACUUGGGGGGCACUUGGGGGGCACGGCCCCAUAGAGAGAGAGCGAUGCCCCAUAGGAAGCGGCGCUGCCCCAUAGAGAGACUGCGCUGCCCCACAGAGAGACUACGCUGCCCCAUAGGAAGCGGCGCUGCCCCAUAGAGAGACAAUGCUGCCCCAUAGGAAGCGGCGCUGCCCCAUAGAGAGACAAUGCUGCCCCAUAGGGAGACAAUGCUGCCCCACAGGGAGACAACACUGCCCCAUAGGGGGACAUCGCUGCCCCAUAAGUAGCGGCGCUGCUCCAUAGGGAGACAACACUGCCCCAUAGGGAGACAAUGCUGCCCCAUAAGUAGCAGCGCUGCCCCAUAGAGAGACUACGCUGCCCCAUAGGGAGACAACACUGCCCCACAGGGAGACAACGCUGCCCCAUAAGUAGCAGCACUGCCCCAUAGGGGGACAUCGCUGCCCCAUAAGUAGCGGCGCUGCUCCAUAGGGAGACAAUGCUGCCCCAUAGGGAGCAGCACUGCCCCAUAGGGAGACAAUGCUGCCCCAUAGGGAGACAAUGCUGCCCCAUAAGGAGCGGUGCCGCUGAACGGGGACACUGCUGCCGAAAAAAGAGGGGGGGGGAAAGGAUGUGGGGGGCACUUGGGGGGCAAGGCCCCAUAGAGAGACUACGCUGCCCCAUAGGAAGCGGCGCUGCCCCAUAGAGAGACUACGCUGCCCCAUAGCGAGACAGCGAUGCCCCAUAGGGAGACAAUGCUGCCCCAUAGGGAGCAGUGCCGCUGAACGGGGACACCGCUGACAAAAAGGGGGGGAAAGGGGGCGAUGUGGGGGGCACUUGGGGGGCACGGC